UGUUUUUGGUAAGCAUUCUCCAUGGGUAGGGUGUUGUGGCAGAUGCCUGAGGAGUAAAAGUUAUGAAGGAACCUAGAGUCUAGUUAGGAAGAUAAGACACUAACAGGUGAACAAGGAGACAGCAAUAAAACACUUCGGAAUUAUAUGAUGUGGAUACUCAAUGCUCCAGAAAUUUAGAAAAGGAAGAAGUCCAAGUUCACUACAGUCCCUGAAGAGCAAGGGAAGGUGCAAAGUGGAUUGCAAGGAUUGAUUGACAGCCCUCAAGCCAAGGAUUCUACAAGAGCUGGCUGGGUCAAGAUUCUAAGGGGGCUGGAGCAGCUCUCAACUGUCUGUCUGAAGCUGGAUCUCCACACUGAAGCUGUGACUCAGCUCCCUGAGAAAACACCUUUCAAGCUGCCUGCCUUAGAAUAACAUCAAGACAAGGUUGAGAGGAAGUUCCCUAUUCAUUCUGGUGGACAGUGAUUUGGGGAGAGAAUUUCUCUCUUUCCUGGAUCUUCUAAGGACUUUACAACUGGAUGUCUGCAGUCUGACCCACCAAGGACUCUGUGUGAGAAUCUGGGCUCCCUGUUUGGACUUCUUCUGUGUUAACUUUAGUUUAGUUUAGUUUAGUUUAGACAGGCUAAACUUAGAAUAGGAACUUAUUGGGUUAAGUAUCUGGGUGGGUGAUAGUCAGAUGAUCAACCUUCCCCUUUCCUUCCCCAUCCUUCCCUUCCUUUAUUAAUAAACUUAUUUAAAUAGUUGUGUGUUUUCCCUUUCCUACAGCCUCCCCCCUCCUCCCUCAAAUUCUCUAUAGCACUGUCUCUAUGUAGCUGAACUUUUUCUUUUGGGGGAAUAUGAGGGUGGAGAUCUGAGGAAAGGUGGUUGAAAUAUUCCAUUGAACAGCACAAUUCCUACUUGUUUGCUCCCCAAAGUGGGGUGGAACAAAGGAUAUAGCAAGUAGCUCUUCCCUGUCCUUUUUUCUCUCCAGAGAUGGCAUUGAAGGGAAAUUGAAGGAAAUGAGGAGGAACAGACAUAGGCUAAUCUUAAAUAAAUUGGAAAUAAUGGGUCUAAUUUUCCCUUUUGAUUUCUCUAACCAGUGCCUAAACCUGUAAGAUUUAGGGUAUUCAGUCUCCCUGAGAUUACUCUGGUGAGAGAACAAUGAAAACAUCCAUUAUUUAGGACUCCAUUUGUAAUUCUAUUGUGAGCACAAUAUCUGGAUUACAAGUGUCAGGACAUGUGAAAAUAUUGACUGAGGCACUAUGUGCUGGGAGCUGUAGCUUUGUAAAUUUAAAGUUAGGAAAUCCAAAUACAGUAUCACUUAUUGACAGGCAAUAAAGACCCCAAAGAAAGCAUCCACACAAAGAGUUAAAAGUUCAGAAUAGAAGGGAUAAUGGGACACUAAUUAAGAUUGUUCUUCACAGCUGGAAAUUAGCCACUGUUCAACUACCAAAGCCUCUCAGGACUGAAUGCUCUGUUCUAGAAGCAGUUAGGCAGCAAAAUGGAUAGAGCCCUAGACCUGGAGUGAGGAAAACCCAGAUUCGAAUCUAGCUUCAGAUACUUAGGAGCUAUGUGACCCUGUGUAAGUCACUUUAACCACAAAAUGGAGAUAAUAACAUCUUCCUUCCAGGAUUAUUGUGAAUAUUAUCUGAGAUAAUAUUUAUAAAGCACCUGGCACACAAUACUUACGGGAAGCUCUUUGUCUUAUGGGGGUAUUGUUGGCUUUUAAUUUUUAACCUCAGCAGUGGCAGCAAUAGACUUCAAAUGGAGUGGGGAAAGCAGCCUGCUCAUCAAGAAGGGUAAGUAGUUCAUUGUUUUUUCAUUAAGGCCUAAAAUUACUGAUCAGAGCAGGUGCGAUAUUAUCAUUUAAUUUGUCUCUAUUCAAUUUUUUAGGCUGCAAGGGCUCUCCUGAGCCUCAGGGGGCACUAGCAAAAACCUGCUCCAGGCACCAAUCAUCUCAAUGACUUGCAAAAUCCAAUGGAACUAGCAAGCAACUGACCUACCAUAACUGAAGCAUUCCCCACAAUGAGCUCACUGGGGAGACUUCCACCAGGAAGUGACUCUUUGUACUGUGAUGCCAUCUAAGUAUGGACUCCUUUGCAGGAAGGAACUGUCAAAGCAGCAAAAUCAAGCUGUUUCUCUCUGCCCAGGGAAGUUUAUAGAUAGAAACAAGGUACAAAUGCGCAUCCUCCAUCUUCUGGAAAUUAUUGUUACUGUUGGGUCUUUUCUCUCAUGCCUGACCCUUUGUGAGCCCAUUUGGGGCUUUCUUGGCAAAGAUACUGGAGUGGUUUGCCAUUCCUUCUCCAGUUCAUUUUACAGAUGAGGAAACCAAGGCAAAUGGGGUUAAGUGUCUUGCCCAGAGACACAUAGCUGGUGAGUCACUGAGAUCAGAUUUGAACUCAGGAAGAUGAUCCCUCCUGACUUCCUGAGAAGAGCCUUGGCUCUCUAUCUACUGUACAACCUAGCUGUAUCUCCUCUGUAAAUUACAGUUAGUUAAAAAAUCUGCCAAACUUAGUCAGAACAUGGCAGCCAUGUCGUCAGCCCUCUUUGGCAACAUCCACCCAUUUUGAAUAGGGCAGGAAGCAACUUCCUCCAUCUUCAUCCAGGGAAGAAAGUAACUCAUUGCUUCUCUAUAUAAUGGCAUAAAGGCACAGAGCAGAGUAUGUACAGAUCUCAGUGCCAGAUAAGUUCUACCAUCUAUCUUCUCUGUCUACUCAUGUGCCUCUGAACCACACUACACUGACUAGAUCCACUACAAAUUCAUCUUAUC